rnacentral:rRNA from 1 species
UACAGAGGUCUCAAGCGUUGUUCGGAUUCAUUGGGCGUAAAGGGUGCGUAGGUGGCGCCAUAAGUCGGGUGUGAAAUCUCGGGGCUUAACUCCGAAACUGCAUUCGAUACUGUGGUGCUUGAGGACUGGAGAGGAGACUGGAAUUCAUGGUGUAGCAGUGAAAUGCGUAGAGAUCAUGAGGAAGACCAGUGGCGAAGGCGGGUCUCUGGACAGUUCCUGACACUGAGGCACGAAGGCCAGGGGAGCGAACAGG